rnacentral:rRNA from 1 species
GUAGGUGGCAAGCGUUGUCCGGGAAUUAUUGGGGCGUAAAGCGCGCGCAGGCGGUUCUUUAAGUCUGAUGUGAAAGCCCACGGGCUCAACCGUGGAGGGUCAUUGGAAACUGGAGAACUUGAGUACAGAAGAGGAAAGCGGAAUUCCACGUGUAGCGGUGAAAUGCGUAGAGAUGUGGAGGAACACCAGUGGCGAAGGCGGCUUUCUGGUCUGUAACUGACGCUGAGGCGCGAAAGCGUGGGGAGCAAACAGGAUUAGAUACCCUGGUAGUCCGCGCCGUAAACGAUGAGUGCUAAGUGUUAGGGGGUUUCCGCCCCUCAGUGCUGCAGCUAACGCAUUAAGCACUCCGCCUGGGGAGUACGGCCGCAAAGGCUG